UCUUCUCUGGAUCUUGUCUCAGACUGCUCCCCUUGACUAGCUGCUAAACCUCCUGUGUUUGUGUUGCUGCUCUUGUCCCUUUCCUUUUACACCCUAUAGCUCCAUUAUAACUCUUCUAUCUCCUCUCACUCCUCUAUCCAUUUCUACCUCCAACCUGCCCUACCAAACUCUACUUGCCACUGACCACCUUCACUGCACCUGGAACCUGCUUCAUCUCUAAUUGUCUCUGCUACCUCUUCCUUUACCUGCUCUAAAACCUCCUUUGUCCUCCCUCUUACUCUGUCCUUUGUAGCUCUCUACCAUCUCUAAGCUCUUUUUUAGCCUGAACGCACCAUCCAGUAUCACUCUAUCCUUUCCUCUUCUCUUUCUUUACAUACUCUGUGUCGUAGCACUACUGACUUGCAUACCUCCUCACGUUUACCUGCCCCCACCCUUCUCUGUCUCCUCCCCCACCACAUGACAUCCUGCCCUAAGGGCAUUUAGGAGGGAAGCCCCUCGUGGCACCAUCUUUAUUACCCCUGUUUUUGCCCUGGCUGCUGAGUAUCCCUGAUCCCAGAGGAAUGUUUAUCAUGCAGAAAGCUGUUAGUCAUGCUGGUCACUCUUUUAUUUACUGGGUGGCUAGAAGAGCAGAGGUUCAUCCUGUUGGUGCGAAUAUGGGCCUGAAUCCUGUACAUUGACAUGUUCAGUAGUGUCAUUGUUGGGGUAUAGAGUGGUGCCAAUUGUUACCAGCACUGGAGGAGGGACAUCAGAAUUACCAUCUGAAGGACCACACGUACAUGGUAAAUGAAUGAUACAGCAGCAAAGAUCGAGACCAAGAAAGGACACUUUUAGCCAUGAGGAGAACUGCAUCCACAUGUCAAUGCCUAGGACAUAUGGCAAAUGCUGUUUUAUAAAAGGAGGACCCAAAGAAGCUGAGAGGGCAAACAGCUGGAAUCAAGUGGUUUUCGAUAUUAAUGUUGUUGCUGGAAGGAGCUGCACUUUAACACAGGCCAAGAACAGGGCCAAUAAUAUGGUAGGAUUUGCCAGAGCAAAGGCAAGGCAGAAUUCAAUUGCCCUAACACUACUGUGGGGCUUCAAACACUAAUUCCUUUAACACCUGAUGAGGAAUACCUCCUGUCCAUUCUUUGGAAUUAUAAUGAAACAGACAAUGAUGGCACUGGCAUAAUCAGAGGUGGAGUGGACAGUAGCUAUUAGUCUGAAGUCUGCAGUAUCAACAGGCAUUUCCUCAUGAAGGCUGGUUUGACAAUAGUAACAUAUUUACAUACAGAAAUAAAUGCUGAAAUGAAAUGA